GACGAACGCUGGCGGCGUGCCUAAUACAUGCAAGUCGAGCGGUGACGGAUGGUACUUGUACCAUCUGGGUGAGCAGCGAACGGGUGAGUAACGCGUGGGGCAUCUGCUUUUGAGCGGGGGACAACAUUUGGAGACGACUGCUAAUACCACAUAAAACCUUUAAACACAAGAAUCAGGUUUGAAAGAGGCCAUUGCAUCACUCAUGGAUGAUCCCGCGUUGUAUUAGCUAGUUGGGGAGGUAAAGGCCCACCAAGGCGAUGAUACAUAGCCGACCUGAGAGGGUGAUCGGCCACAUUUGGACUGAGACACGGCUCAAACUUCUACGAGAGGCAGCAGUAGGGGAACUUCGGCCAUGGACGAAAGUCUGACCGAGCAACGCCGCGGUAGUUAAGGAGGUUUUCGGAUCUUAAAACUCUGUUUGUAGGGAAGAACGUUGAGGAGGGUAGAAAGCUCAUCAAGUGACGGUAACUACCCAGAAAGCGACGGCUAACUACGUG
rnacentral:rRNA from 1 species